GAUGAACGCUGGCGGCGUGCCUAAUACAUGCAAGUAGAACGCUGAAGCUUGGUGCUUGCACCGAGCGGAUGAGUUGCGAACGGGUGAGUAACGCGUAGGUAACCUGCCUGGUAGCGGGGGAUAACUAUUGGAAACGAUAGCUAAUACCGCAUAACAGUCGACAUUGCAUGAUGUUGAUUUGAAAGGGGCAAUUGCUCCACUACCAGAUGGACCUGCGUUGUAUUAGCUAGUUGGUGAGGUAACGGCUCACCAAGGCGACGAUACAUAGCCGACCUGAGAGGGUGAUCGGCCACACUGGGACUGAGACACGGCCCAGACUCCUACGGGAGGCAGCAGUAGGGAAUCUUCGGCAAUGGGGGCAACCCUGACCGAGCAACGCCGCGUGAGUGAAGAAGGUUUUCGGAUCGUAAAGCUCUGUUGUAAGAGAAGAACGAGUGUGAGAGUGGAAAGUUCACAC
rnacentral:rRNA from 1 species